UACAGAGGUCUCAAGCGUUGUUCGGAUUCAUUGGGCGUAAAGGGCGCGUAGGCGGCUGGGUAAGUCGGGUGUGAAAUCUCAGAGCUCAACUCUGAAAUGGCACUUGAUACUGCUCUGCUAGAGGACUGGAGAGGAGAUUGGAAUUCACGGUGUAGCAGUGAAAUGCGUAGAUAUCGUGAGGAAGACCAGUGGCGAAGGCGGAUCUCUGGACAGCUCCUGACGCUGAGGCGCGAAGGCUAGGGGAGCAAACGGG
rnacentral:rRNA from 1 species